rnacentral:rRNA from 1 species
GAUGAACGCUGGCGGCGUGCUUAACACUUGCCAGUCGAACGGAAAGGCCAGUGCUUGCACUGGUACUCGAGUGGCGAACGGGUGAGUAACACGUGGGUGAUCUGCCCUGCACUUCGGGAUAAGCCUGGGAAACUGGGUCUAAUACCGGAUAGGACAAUGGUUUGGAUGCCGUUGUGGAAAGUUUUUUCGGUGUGGGAUGAGCUCGCGGCCUAUCAGCUUGUUGGUGGGGUAAUGGCCUACCAAGGCGUCGACGGGUAGCCGGCCUGAGAGGGUGUACGGCCACAUUGGGACUGAGAUACGGCCCAGACUCCUACGGGAGGCAGCAGUGGGGAAUAUUGCACAAUGGGCGCAAGCCUGAUGCAGCGACGCCGCGUGGGGGAUGACGGCCUUCGGGUUGUAAACUCCUUUCGCUAGGGACGAAGCGUAUUUGUGACGGUACCUGGAGAAGAAGCACCGGCUAACUACGUGC